CCUACGGGGGGCAGCAGUGAGGAAUAUUGGUCAAUGGGCGUAAGCCUGAACCAGCCAAGUCGCGUGAGGGAUGAAGGUUCUAUGGAUCGUAAACCUCUUUUAUAAGGGAAUAAAGUGUGGGACGUGUCCUAUUUUGUAUGUACCUUAUGAAUAAGGAUCGGCUAACUCCGUGCCAGCAGCCGCGGUAAUACGGAGGAUCCGAGCGUUAUCCGGAUUUAUUGGGUUUAAAGGGUGCGUAGGGGGCGUGUUAAGUCAGUGGUGAAAGUCUGUGGCUCAACCAUAGAAUUGCCGUUGAAACUGGGAGGCUUGAGUAUGGUUGAGGCAGGCGGAAUGCGUGGUGUAGCGGUGAAAUGCUUAGAUAUCACGCAGAACCCCGAUUGCGAAGGCAGCCUGCCAAACCAUGACUGACGCUGAUGCACGAAAGCGUGGGGAUCAAACAGGAUUAGAUACCCUGGUAGUC
rnacentral:rRNA from 1 species